rnacentral:rRNA from 1 species
UACGGAGGGUGCUAGCGUUGUUCGGAAUUACUGGGCGUAAAGCGCACGUAGGCGGCGAUUCAAGUCAGAGGUGAAAGCCCGGGGCUCAACCCCGGAACUGCCUUUGAAACUAGAUUGCUAGAAUCCUGGAGAGGUUAGUGGAAUUCCGAGUGUAGAGGUGAAAUUCGUAGAUAUUCGCAAGAACACCAGUGGCGAAGGCGGCUCACUGGCCCGAUACUGACGCUGAGGUGCGAAAGCGUGGGGAGCAAACAGG